UAAUACGUAGGUUGCAAGCGUUGUCCGGAUUUACUGGGUGUAAAGGGCGUGUAGGCGGAGAUGCAAGUUGGGAGUGAAAUCCAUGGGCUCAACCCAUGAACUGCUCUCAAAACUGUAUCCCUUGAGUAUCGGAGAGGCAAGCGGAAUUCCUAGUGUAGCGGUGAAAUGCGUAGAUAUUAGGAGGAACACCAGUGGCGAAGGCGGCUUGCUGGACGACAACUGACGCUGAGGCGCGAAAGCGUGGGGAGCAAACAGGAUUAGAUACCCUGGUAGUCCACGCUGUAAACGAUGAAUACUAGGUGUGGGAGGACUGACCCCUUCCGUGCCGCAGUUAACACAAUAAGUAUUCCACCUGGGGAGUACGACCGCAAGGUUG
rnacentral:rRNA from 1 species